rnacentral:rRNA from 1 species
UACGAAGGGGGCUAGCGUUGCUCGGAAUCACUGGGCGUAAAGGGUGCGUAGGCGGUCUGUUGCGUCGGCUGUGAAAACCCGGGGCUCAACUCCGGGCCUGCAGCCGAUACGGGCAGACUAGAGUUCGGCAGGGGAGACUGGAAUUCCUGGUGUAGCGGUGAAAUGCGCAGAUAUCAGGAGGAACACCGGUGGCGAAGGCGGGUCUCUGGGCCGAUACUGACGCUGAGGAGCGAAAGCGUGGGGAGCGAACAGG